rnacentral:rRNA from 1 species
UGCAGUCGANCGGCAGCGCGGGGCAACCUGGCGGCGAGUGGCGAACGGGUGAGUAAUAUAUCGGAACGUGCCCUGGAGUGGGGGAUAACGCAGCGAAAGUUGCGCUAAUACCGCAUACGAUCUAAGGAUGAAAGCGGGGGAUUCGCAAGAACCUCGUGCUCCUGGAGCGGCCGAUAUCUGAUUAGCUAGUUGGUGGAGUAAAGGCCUACCAAGGCAUCGAUCAGUAGCUGGUCUGAGAGGACGACCAGCCACACUGGAACUGAGACACGGUCCAGACUCCUACGGGAGGCAGCAGUGGGGAAUUUUGGACAAUGGGCGAAAGCCUGAUCCAGCAAUGCCGCGUGAGUGAAGAAGGCCUUCGGGUUGUAAAGCUCUUUUGUCAGGGAAGAAACGGUGAAGGCUAAUAUCCUUUGCUAAUGACGGUACCUGAAGAAUAAGCACCGGCUAACUACGUGCCAGCAGCCGCGGUAAUACGUAGGGUGCAAGCGUUAAUCGGAAUUACUGGGCGUAAAGCGUGCGCAGGCGGUUUUGUAAGUCUGUCGUGAAAUCCCCGGGCUCAACCUGGGAAUUGCGAUGGAGACUGCAAGGCUAGAAUCUGGCAGAGGGGGGUAGAAUUCCACGUGUAGCAGUGAAAUGCGUAGAGAUGUGGAGGAACACCGAUGGCGAAGGCAGCCCCCUGGGUCAAGAUUGACGCUCAUGCACGAAAGCGUGGGGAGCAAACAGGAUUAGAUACCCUGGUAGUCCACGCCCUAAACGAUGUCUACUAGUUGUCGGGUUUUAAUUAACUUGGUAACGCAGCUAACGCGUGAAGUAGACCGCCUGGGGAGUACGGUCGCAAGAUUAAAACUCAAAGGAAUUGACGGGGACCCGCACAAGCGGUGGAUGAUGUGGAUUAAUUCGAUGCAACGCGAAAAACCUUACCUACCCUUGACAUGUACGGAAGCCACGAGAGAUCGAGGCGUGCUCGAAAGANAGCCGUAACA